rfam:Absidia glauca strain CBS 101.48 genome assembly, contig: contig_5974
UUAAUUUGACUCAACACGGGGAAACUCACCAGGUCCAGACAUAAUAAGGAUUGACAGAUUGAAAGCUCUUUCUAGAUUUUAUGGGUGGUGGUGCAUGGCCGUUCCUCGCAAGAUCGUGCGGCCUUUUCCGCCGUCCACACCUUGAAAGCAAAGUCUUCAUGGUUGUCGUCGUCAUCGUCAUCGUCAAGAAGUUGACUGAUGUGCUGGUACAAUAUGGGUA